AUUGAACGCUGGCGGCAGGCCUAACACAUGCAAGUCGAGCGGAUGAAGGGAGCUUGCUUCUGGAUUCAGCGGCGGACGGGUGAGUAAUGCCUAGGAAUCUGCCUGGUAGUGGGGGAUAACGUCCGGACACGGGCGCUAAUACCGCAUACGUCCUGAGGGAGAAAGUGGGGGAUCUUCGGACCUCACGCUAUCAGAUGAGCCUAGGUCGGAUUAGCUAGUUGGUGGGGUAAAGGCCUACCAAGGCGACGAUCCGUAACUGGUCUGAGAGGAUGAUCAGUCACACUGGAACUGAGACACGGUCCAGACUCCUACGGGAGGCAGCAGUGGGGAAUAUUGGACAAUGGGCGAAAGCCUGAUCCAGCCAUGCCGCGUGUGUGAAGAAGGUCUUCGGAUUGUAAAGCACUUUAAGUUGGGAGGAAGGGCAGUAAGUUAAUACCUUGCUGUUUUGACGUUACCAACAGAAUAAGCACCGGCUAACUUCGUG
rnacentral:rRNA from 1 species